AUUGAACGCUGGCGGCAGGCCUAACACAUGCAAGUCGAGCGGAGCGGCGGACGGGUGAGUAAUGCCUAGGAAUCUGCCUGGUCGUGGGGGCUAACGUCCGGAAACGGGCGCUAAUACCGCAUACUAUCAGAUGAGCCUAGGUCGGAGUAGCUAGGUGGUGGGGUAAAGGCCUACCAAGGCGACGAUCCGUAACUGGUACGAGAGGAUGAUCAGUCACACGGGAACUGAGACACGGUCCAGACGCCUACGGGAGGCCGCAGUGGGGAAUAUUGGACAAUGGGCGAAAGCCUGAUCCAGCCAUGCAGCGUGUGUGAAGAAGGUCUUCGGAUUGUAAAGCACUUUAAGUUGGGAGGCGUUACCAACAGAAUAAGCACCGGCUAACUACGUGCAAGCAGCCGCGGUAAUUC
rnacentral:rRNA from 1 species